rnacentral:misc_RNA from 1 species
GAUGAAGAACGUAGCGAAAUGCGAUAAGUAAUGUGAAUUGCAGAAUUCCGUGAAUCAUCGAAUCUUUGAACGCACAUUGCGCCCCUUGGUAUUCCAUGGGGCAUGCCUGUUCGAGCGUCAUUUGUACCCUCAAGCUUUGCUUGGUGUUGGGUGUUUGUCCCGCGUUGCGCGUGGACUCGCCUUAAAGCGAUUGGCAGCCGGCAUAUUGGCCUUGGAGCGCAGCACAUUUUGCGCUUCUAGUCAUGAAUGUUGGCGUCCAUUAAGCCUAUACAUUUGCUCUUGACCUCGGAUCAGGUAGGGAUACCCGCUGAACUUAAGCAUAUCAAUAAGCGGAGGA